UUAAUGGUUUCCCUAGAAACCACAACAAAUAUCCUUGACAUAUCAA
rfam:Chlorocebus sabaeus isolate 1994-021 chromosome 3, whole genome shotgun sequence.